rnacentral:lncRNA from 1 species
AGGAGGGGCCGUGCGGCGCCUGCCCGGGGGCCCUCAGGCCGCAGGCGGGCGCGAGCUUCAGGGAACUUAGGGGGCUCCCGCCUCCCCGGCCACGCGAGCGGGAACAGUCUCCUCCACUCGGAGCGGCGCCAUCUUCAGCUCUGAGUCACCAGGGCUGGAAAAAUACUAGAUGCGCUACUCGUGGACUCGUGAAUACACUCGUGAAUACAGGCCAUUUCCUGUACCUACAGCCACCCGCUCCACUCAUCAUGCCUUACCUGGAUGAUGCAGAAGUCCCUGGAAACAGAAGGUCUCACCCUUCUUUAUCUUUCUCAUGGCUUUCCAAGGCUCUUUAUCAUGUUACUUUCCUGCUCAGAAUUCUUUAAUGACUUGCCUCAAUGACCAGAUACAUGUGAUCUACAGUCAGCCUUCCAGCCUCAUCAUUCCUCUUCCAUUUCCUCCCCAGAAACACUGUACUUUAUGAAGCUCCUCCAAGACAUUAUAGAUCCAGACUCCUGUGCCUGACCACUGCCCAUGGCCAACUCUCUGCUGAUGACUGGACUUGACUACACAAGUUGUUGGCCAUCUUAAAACCACUCAAAGUUGACGGUCUCCUCUCCUGCCUCCUGCGGCUUCCAUUACCAUGGCAGAGACUGUGGUGUCUGAGGUGGUGUAGCGUACUGAAGCAAGGCUGUCUUGAAGAAGAGGAGACAACUC